rnacentral:rRNA from 1 species
CAGUCGCCGCGGUAAAACGUAGGUGGCAAGCGUUGUCCGGAAUUAUUGGGCGUAAAGGGCUCGCAGGCGGUUUCUUAAGUCUGAUGUGAAAGCCCCCGGCCCAACCGGGGAGGGUCAUUGGAAACUGGGAAACUUGAGUGCAGAAGAGGAGAGUGGAAUUCCACGUGUAGCGGUGAAAUGCGUAGAGAUGUGGAGGAACACCAGUGGCGAAGGCGACUCUCUGGUCUGUAACUGACGCUGAGGAGCGAAAGCGUGGGGAGCGAACAGGAUUAGAUACCCGCGUAGUCCCUGUCUCUUAUAA